rnacentral:rRNA from 1 species
UACGUAGGGUGCAAGCGUUGUCCGGAAUUAUUGGGCGUAAAGAGCUCGUAGGCGGUCUGUCGCGUCGGCUGUGAAAACCCGCGGCUCAACCGCGGGCCUGCAGCCGAUACGGGCAGGCUAGAGUUCGGUAGGGGAGACUGGAAUUCCUGGUGUAGCGGUGAAAUGCGCAGAUAUCAGGAGGAACACCAAUGGCGAAGGCAGCUCGCUGGGACGGUACUGACGCUGAGACGCGAAAGCGUGGGGGAGCAAACAGG